GGGUUGUGAGGUUAAGCGACUAAGCGUACACGGUGGAUGCCCUGGCAGUCAGAGGCGAUGAAGGGCGUGCUAAUCUGCGAUAAGCGCCGGUAAGGUGAUAUGAACCGUUAUAACCGGCGAUACCCGAAUGGGGAAACCCAGUGUGACUCGUCACACUAUCAUUAACUGAAUCCAUAGGUUAAUGAGGCGAACCGGGGGAACUGAAACAUCUAAGUACCCCGAGGAAAAGAAAUCAACCGAGAUUCCCCCAGUAGCGGCGAGCGAACGGGGAGGAGCCCAGAGCCUGAAUCAGCAUGUGUGUUAGUGGAAGCGUCUGGAAAGACGCGCGAUACAGGGUGACAGCCCCGUACACAAAAGCGCAUGUGUUGUGAGCUCGAUGAGUAGGGCGGGACACGUGGUAUCCUGUCUGAAUAUGGGGGGACCAUCCUCCAAGGCUAAAUACUCCUGACUGACCGAUAGUGAACCAGUACCGUGAGGGAAAGGCGAAAAGAACCCCGGCGAGGGGAGUGAAAAAGAACCUGAAACCGUGUACGUACAAGCAGUGGGAGCACCCUGUGUGACUGCGUACCUUUUGUAUAAUGGGUCAGCGACUUAUAUUCUGUAGCAAGGUUAACCGAAUAGGGGAGCCGGAGGGAAACCGAGUCUUAAUUGGGCGUUAAGUUGCAGGGUAUAGACCCGAAACCCGGUGAUCUAGCCAUGGGCAGGUUGAAGGUUGGGUAACACUAACUGGAGGACCGAACCGACUAAUGUUGAAAAAUUAGCGGAUGACCUGUGGCUGGGGGUGAAAGGCCAAUCAAACCGGGAGAUAGCUGGUUCUCCCCGAAAGCUAUUUAGGUAGCGCCUCGUGAACUCAUCUCCGGGGGUAGAGCACUGUUUCGGCUAGGGGGACAUCCCGGCUUACCAACCCGAUGCAAACUGCGAAUACCGGAGAAUGUUAUCACGGGAGACACACGGCGGGUGCUAACGUCCGUCGUGAAGAGGGAAACACCCCAGACCGCCAGCUAAGGUCCCAAAGUCAUGGUUAAGUGGGAAACGAUGUGGGAAGGCCCAGACAGCCAGGAUGUUGGCUUAGAAGCAGCCAUCAUUUAAAGAAAGCGUAAUAGCUCACUGGUCGAGUCGGCCUGCGCGGAAGAUGUAACGGGGCUAAACCAUGCACCGAAGCUGCGGCAGCGA
rnacentral:rRNA from 1 species